UGUGUUUAGUCUGUUUCACAACCAACAUAUGGGAUUUAUUGUUGUCACUUGUACACUGAGUUUUAACACGUAUUUAAAAGACUCUUACAAGAAUAAAAACUUCAUUUACCAAGGGAACCGACACACAGCAAUUCGUCAGUCUUCGCUAAAAUUUUGAAAUUGGAGCACUUCAAAUUUCAUCUAAGUUUCCUGGAUAUCAAGAAUAGAGAUAAAUUGAAGUAUCUCCCAACACAUACUUGGAUAUCAUAUAAAGUGGAAGAUAUUUCAGCACUUAGAAAAAAGAAAAAUCGUUCUUUAGAUGAAGCAUUCAAAUUGUUUUUCGCUUCCACCUCUAAAGAAGUCUCUUUCUGAGUUUGAAGAAGAAGCCACAAAUAAAGAUGGAGAGGAGCAAGAACCAGCUUUGCUGGAAUCAAAUUUGUUUGAGGUGCCUGACUUACCUUCAAGGGAAGAAGACUCUCCUCAUGACCACCAAUAAUCUGAGGUUAGUGAUCUUCCCAUGACCAGCACUACAUUAACUUCCAAAAUGGCCAGAGGUAAAAGGACGCAAAAAAAGCCCCUGGCCUGUAGUGCAGAAUGGAAAUGGGAAGUUCUUAAAGAUGAGCAGCCCAGAUUGUUGGGGGACUUCAUCUGAGGAGAGCCUGUUUCCCGUCAAGCAAGUAGGUGUCAGACUCCUUGAUUUUUUUUCAACUUUUUUUUUUUCUCUCAGCAUUGUUACCAAAAUUGUUGAAGAAACAAAUAGAUUUGCACACCAGCAAGGGGAACACCUAAACAACGAUGUCAGAAAGAAAAGGAAACUUCUGAAAUAUAGUGAUGUUACUCCUCAAGAAAUUUUAACUUUUAUUGGUUUAACUAUUUCUAUGGGUAUAACUCUCUUACCAUCUGUUACAAAUUACUGGUCUACCACUCCUUAACUUCAUCUUCCCUUGUUUUCUUCAGUAUUUUUCAGAGAAAAAUUCCUAACUAUUGCUUGCUUCUUUCAUUUCGAUGACAAUACUAAUAAUCUACCUAAAACUGAUCCUAAACAAGAUAAACUUGUGCUUGUGCUUGAUCAUCCACUAACAGCUUUUCCAGCUCACUAUAACUCUUCUAGGGAACUUUCUAUUGAUGUUCAAAUGUUGGGAACAAGGGUAGAAUUUCUUUUAAGCAAUAUCUAUCUAGCAAGCCUACCAAGUGGGGAAUGAAACUUUGGGUUCUGGCAGAAGCCGUGACUGGAUACUGUUUAAAUUUUAGAAUAUACUCUGGUAAAGAGGGAUCUGUACCUUCCAAGGGCUUAGCUAGCACAGUUGUAAUGACUCUGAUGGGAAAAGUACCUUGGAAGGGGACACUCUCUUUUUACUGAUAAUUUUUAUACUUCCCCAACUCUGCUGUGAUGUGGACUGAUAAAAAGAGAUGUUCAUGCUCUUUCUACAAUCAAUAAUGCUACAGUAAAGAAAGUGACAAGAAG